GGUGAUUGGGGUGAAGUCGUAACAAGGUAGCCGUAGGAGAACCUGCGGCUGGAUCACCUCCUUUCUAGGGAGA
rnacentral:rRNA from 1 species